GACGAACGCUGGCGGCGUGCUUAACACAUGCAAGUCGAACGGAAAGGCCCUGCUUUUGUGGGGUGCUCGAGUGGCGAACGGGUGAGUAACACGUGAGUAACCUGCCCUUGACUUUGGGAUAACUUCAGGAAACUGGGGCUAAUACCGGAUAGGAGCUCCUGCUGCAUGGUGGGGGUUGGAAAGUUUCGGCGGUUGGGGAUGGACUCGCGGCUUAUCGGCUUGUUGGUGGGGUAGUGGCUUACCAAGGCUUUGACGGGUAGCCGGCCUGAGAGGGUGACCGGCCACAUUGGGACUGAGAUACGGCCCAGACUCCUACGGGAGGCAGCAGUGGGGAAUAUUGCACAAUGGGCGGAAGCCUGAUGCAGCAACGCCGCGUGCGGGAUGACGGCCUUCGGGUUGUAAACCGCUUUCGCCUGUGACGAAGCGUGAGUGGCGGUAAUGGGUAAAGAAGCACCGGCUAACUGCGUG
rnacentral:rRNA from 1 species